rnacentral:rRNA from 1 species
UACGGGGGGAGCAAGCGUUGUUCGGAUUUACUGGGCGUAAAGGGUGCGUAGGUGGUCGGGUAAGUCUGAUGUGAAAUCUCCGAGCUUAACUCGGAAACUGCAUCGGAUACUAUUCGGCUCGAGGGUUGGAGGGGGGACUGGAAUGCUUGGUGUAGCAGUGAAAUGCGUAGAUAUCAAGCGGAACACCAGUGGCGAAGGCGAGUCCCUGGACAACUCCUGACACUGAGGCACGAAAGCUAGGGGAGCAAACAGG